CUUCUCAGAUGAAGCAUGCCCCACAAGCUCCUGCUGAAGCUAUGGUGAUGGAUGAAGAUAUGGAGCUGGAGAGAGCGAUGCUGAGUAUCUCUCCUUCCAAGCAUCACAUGGAGAGCUCCGUUCCUGCAACAUCCUCAGCUGCCAGACCACAAGAGGCUUCAGGAACAGAAAGAGGUUCUUAACCAAAAACGUCCUGUUGUCGAUAGACAACUGUGGGAACAUGAAUCCUUAUCCCAAACAGAAGCAUGUCUUAAAUUGUUCCGUCUCAGGUUGACCACGUUCUGGUCGUGUCUCAGGUUGAUCACGUUCUGGUCGUGUCUGUGUUUUGGUGUUCUACUUAAGAGUCCUAGUGACUAUGAAUUGAUUCCAGUCAUGAUGAGGCUAAGUAUCAUUCCUUAUUUCCUUAUAUGGAUAAAAUGCUAAAACUGCUGUGUUGACUAACACUUGAAUGCAUGUGCUUGCCGUGUGCCAUAUUGCUUCCCCUGCUCAGGCUCAAUUAUAUGACUGAAUACUGAAUAUUAAUCCAUACAAAAAAAUGAAUGUGUGUUAAUGAAUGUUUUCUUUACAUAUUCAUGUAAGAAACCGUCUUUCACUAUAUCAAGCUGAGAGAAGCAGUGUCAUCUGCUAGACUGUCCACACCGACUGAAGUGAAGGGUUCACACGGAGAUGCCUCAGCUCUGCAGCAGUAAAGAGACCAGUGCCCCUGUCUAAGGAGCUGAUGUUCCUCUUACCACAAACAGAAUGUCCUCUGCCAACAAAGACAACUGUCACGGUUCCAGAGACCCUUCUGAUGCCUCCUGAGACAUCCACAGAGCCCAGUCAAGUGCUACUGCAACCACCAAUUGCACAGCAAGCUCAAAGUCAGCCUUUACCCAAGCCAUCAGCCGUCCCCAGCAUUCCUCCUCCACAGCUGGCCGUCCUCACAAUCUGAGUAGACUGGCCCUGCUGCUGAGGAGCAUCCCCAGAGCAUGAUGCUGCCACCACCAUGCUUCACGCUGGAGAUGCUGGUGGCUCCGACUGGUGAAGAACCCGGGCAACAUAUGUUGUAUGUGCAUUCUCUCCUAUCUGAGCCACUGAGGCUUGUAACUCCUGCAGAGUGGUCCUAGGUGUCUUGGUGACUUCCCUCCCCAGUCUUCUUCUUGUCCGGUCACUCAGAUUGUGAGGACGGCCAGCUC